CCUGACCCCAUGCCGAACUCAGAAGUGAAACGCCGUAGCGCCGAUGGUAGUGUGGGGUCUCCCCAUGCGAGAGUAGGGAACUGCCAGGC
rnacentral:rRNA from 77 species